rnacentral:rRNA from 1 species
AGUGAACGCUGGCGGUAGGCCUAACACAUGCAAGUCGAACGGCAGCACAGUAAGAGCUUGCUCUUACGGGUGGCGAGUGGCGGACGAGUGAGGAAUACAUCGGAAUCUACUUUUUCGUGGGGGAUAACGUAGGGAAACUUACGCUAAUACCGCAUACGACCUACGGGUGAAAGCAGGGGAUCUUCGGACCUUGCGCGAUUGAAUGAGCCGAUGUCGGAUUAGCUAGUUGGCGGGGUAAAGGCCCACCAAGGCGACGAUCCGUAGCUGGUCUGAGAGGAUGAUCAGCCACACUGGAACUGAGACACGGUCCAGACUCCUACGGGAGGCAGCAGUGGGGAAUAUUGGACAAUGGGCGCAAGCCUGAUCCAGCCAUACCGUGUGGGUGAAGAAGGCCUUCGGGUUGUAAAGCCCUUUUGUUGGGAAAGAAAAGCAGCAGGUUAAUACCCCGCUGUUCUGACGGUACCCAAAGAAUAAGCACCGGCUAACUUCGUG